CCGUCCAGGCUCUGCACAGCCCGUCACAGGGCUUGAACUCACGAAGCAUGAGAUCAUGACCUGAACCGAAGUCAGACACUUAACUGAGUGAGCCACCCAGGCACCCCUAGAAACUUACCCUUUACACAUCUUGCAAAUCCUGAAGGAGGAGAGAGUUGUCAGAAAGGGGUCCUAGAGUCAGAAGACACCCCCGCCCCCCAGCUUUGUGGAGGGAGGCAGGGCUUGGGCGGAGCACCUGAUGCCCCAGCUAGAGCUUUGUAGGCAGGUUUCAGGGGAGCCCCAACUUCAGUCCUUUUGUUGGUCAGGCCUCUCCCUUGUGAAGACUGUGUCCUGAUUCACGUCUUCAUUGGGAUCUACACUGCAAAUCAGCAGAGGCAUUAUUUAAAUGGCCUUAUUUGAAACUGUGCAGAGUAUGGAGAAUCCUGGCCGGUCUGUAGUCUUUCUCCCAAAAUUCUGCUUCCUGGAAUCCAGUUAAAGGAAGAAGUUGUUGUGAUAUCUGUCGUGAAUGACCCAAUGACAUGGCCCGGUGGUAAAAUUGCUCAUGCGACCUUAUUAGGCAGCAGUGUUUCCUUUGGCUAUUUAGAGACAAGCUGUUGACGGGACAAAGAGAAAGGGACAGGAUACCAACUCUGGGGUGUGUCCAUGCAGCAAGGCUUCCUCAGGCGGUGGCUGGAGGCCUGGACGGCACUGCUCAGUGGCCGACUGGAAGCUCAGGAGGGAGGGGAAGGUCCCCAGAGUCACAUGACAUCAUUUCAAAACCGUUUCCCCAGAUGAAACCUAAGACAGAUUUUGCUGUAACAAUUUUGAGUUUUUAUAAAUUUGCUUUUGAAGUUAUUUGGCUGCAAAUGACUCACUGACCCCUAAACCCCAGGACCACUGGCAGUCAUCAAGCAUCUCAGGGUUUUGUGCAAAGAAAAACCUACUCUGUGAACUUUGUUCAGAAGGAUGGGGUGACGAAGACAGCGCCAUGGUAUGUUCUGAGGUAGGCACGUAAGCGAGCAGGAAUUUCACUUCUGCUUUCUUUGUGUAUUUGUCACCUCUGGGCCAGGCCCCUGGCCAGCCCUGGCCAGCCCUGGCCGCUCCCAGCCCCACUCGGCCCGCCCUGCAGACUUGCCCAGGAAAAGCCCGGCCUGCGGGCACUGUUCACUAGUCUGAGGGAGAAAAUAUACUCAUUUUAGAAUUAUUUUGGGGGGCACCUGGGUGGCUCAGUCAGUUAGGUGUCCGACUUAGGCCCAGGUCAUGAUCUUGCGGUUCAUGGGUUCAAGCCCCGCGUCGGUCUCUGUACUGACAGUUCGGAGCCUGGACCCCGCUUCAGAUUCUGUGUCUCCCUCUCUCCUCUCUCCCUGCCCUUCCCCUGCAGUCUUUCUGUCUCUCAAAAGUAAAUAAACAUUAAAAAAAAGUUAUAAAUAAGUACAGGGUGAUUUUCUAGAAAGCGGGAAGGCACGCGUCCACAGCAAGCUCUGCUGCACCACUUUCCUGGGUCCUUCCCAGAUGGCUGGGCUUCUCUGUGUGCACCUCCUGGCUUCCCAGCCCUCCCUGCUCUCACCAGGCUUCGUCUGGGUCUAGGCUCUGGUCUGAUGGCCCCACCUGUAGGCCCAGAGGAGCCCUAUUCCCAGGCGACAGUGAGGACAGCAGAGAAGUGCAGGCAGGGACCCAGGAUCCCGAAAAGCCCACAGAAUAGGGCCUGGGUCACAUUCACUGGGGGGAAAAGGGCUGGGGACCCCUGUCCUGUGCCGCCAGGUCCCCUGCCGAGGUUGCCAGGAAGCACCGACCGGCAGCUGGUUGGGAAAAACCACCUGUCCCCAAACCAGGGAUGUGAGCCCUCCUUGGGAGCCCUUGGCCCUUCCCCACGCCCCACGGUGCGACCCCUGUCCUGGGCUCACUCCGCCUCAUCCCCUACCUUGGCCUCGUCCUGGCGGGGGCACCUGCAGCCUCUGUCCCUGGGGUUCAGCCUCUGGGAUCCGUGGGGUUAAAGGUCAUGGAAGCAAGACCACAGGGUUUGGGAGCAGCUCCCUUGCUCCGUCAGGCCAGUGUCUGGGGAGAAGUGCUGGUGAACAGGGCCCGGCCACGCUUGGCCUCGCUGCGCUCGCGGGGAGCCAUGGGCUGAGGUCAAACCGGCCUUCGUCUUCCAUGCUCCUGGGGAGGGAAGCCAGCCUCGACUGGAGGCCUCCACGGGAGGCACGUUCGCCAAAGAGCCUGCGCAGCGUCCCUCUCUUUCCCCCCACCCCCCCACCCCAUCCUCAACCCACCUCUGCUCUUCCCACCAAAUCCUCAGUUUCCAUGAUUCUGAAAACCACCCAAGCUCUGGCCUCGAUCUUUCUGAAGGAGAAUGUGCCAGAAGCGGCUGCUCUCCUCCAUGUGGUGACUGUGCAUUUCCCGCCUCCUCUCACGUCCCUGUCACCCCCCCACCCAUCCUCUGUUCUCCUCCAGCUGGUCCCCCCGACCGGGUCUCCGUCACCCCCAGGCAGACUAGCCGGUUCCUGGUACCCGGUGGCUCUUGGGUGGGGGAACCGCUGCUCUUUGGGACAGCACUGCUGUGACGUGGCCUGUGGCUUGGCCUGGGAGGGAGGGGAGGCCAGCCGGGUAGGGCACUCAGCAGAGGCCACGGCAGGGUCUGACCUUGUGCUCCUCCGAAGCAGCCAGCAAAGGGCAGGUGUCCAAGGCUACAGCCCCGAAGACCGGACGCUUGGGGUGGCCUGAGACCUGAGCCCACAGAAGUGGCCCACAGCCCGGUCAGGAGGUGUCCUGGGGUACCUGGCCUGUGGCCUCUGUGCCCCCCACCUCCCUCUCCCCAAAGCAGGAAGGUCCAGGGCUCACAGGUCAACAGCCAUUAUUGAAACGUGCGGCCUUGUGGGCAGAACCGGUGCCCACCAGUGAGCCAGCCCUUCCGGCCAGCUGGUUCUGGCCCUUACCCUCCAAGUGGGCCCUCUGCCAGCCGAGGAGACAAGGCCCCGCCUGGGCUCCACACACACUGCUGGCUCGAAUCCCGAGAGCCUGGGCCUCAGAAACCCCCUGAUGCCUGGAUUGAGUUCCAGCAGCUGUCCCGCCCUGCUGCCCAUGACACCUGUGCAAACUUGACCACAGGUGCCCUUUUCCAGGCGGAGGCCAACCCAGGGGCAGCGGGCACCCGAGCAGUAAGGUGAUGCGCCCCCACGCGUGUGCCAGGAGAGCAGCAGGCAGUCACGGCUCGGGCCAGGCCAGGCCAGGCCAAGACCACACAGGGCCCAGGAGGCCGAUGCUCCAGGGCUGGCCUGGGAGGAAGGAGAGUUCAGCUGCUCACUCCGGGCCUCUGGCCUCUGCAGGUGGCUGGGGGCGCCCAGCACGCGGUCUGUCCGUGUCCUCGCGGUCUGUGUCCUCGUGCGCACCUGCAGGCACUUUGGCUCCUGGCGAAGUUUUGCAGCCUCCCCCCCCCCCCCCCCCCCCCCCCAAAGCCUGGUCAAGACCGCAUGGAACCGGUCAAAAGGACAGGGGAGGAGGGAGGUGAGCAUGCCCCAGGGCCUGGCCCGGCCCGCCCGACCCCAACAGGCCCAGACUGAGCUGUGAUGAGGACGUCACAGCCUCUGGGGCUCCUGGGUCCAGCCCUCUGAUUUCCCCAGGAGCCAGUCCUCGCUGUGGGCUCCGCCCCGCAGGGCUUGGACCGCCCUCCGAGCUCCAGGCACGUUGGGGGCCAUGUGGGGUGGGAUUCAAGGUGGAGGCUGCCUGGGUGGGACCCUGCCCCUCCCAUGCUCGCCACAGGGUUCUCAGGGGGUCGGCGGGCUCCAGAAGCCCUGGGCUGGGGCUACCCCGCUAGUGUCUGUGCACUGGUUACAAAGAACCAAAUACCAGCUGUAACUCAAUCCAACUUUUUAAACAAGUCUGUUUAUUGAAAGAAUCUGAAAAUAGUAAUAAGGCUUUCGACAACAUUUAACAAAUUUUCAAGAUAUUAACAAUAUGAAACAUUAAGAAUUACUUCAAAAAAUCCCAAGUUUUCUAAAUCACUCCAAAUCAUGCUCCUUUCAGACUUGCUUUUUUUUUUUUUUUUUUUUUUUUGGUCUAAAUGAACGACCUGAAUUCCGAACGCCACUCUCUUUUGGACCUAAAGCCAAGUUUUGGUUCGGCCCCCUCUCUGCCCCAGGGAGGCCGGGUGGCGGUGAGGGCCCACCUCCCUUUCGAGCCCCACGCCGACUGCCGAGCUCCACAGACGCUGAACCACGGACGCGGCAGACGCAGGCACCCAGGCUGCACAGCCCACCGCGCGGAGACCCCCGGCCGAAGGUGGUGGCACCCAGGGCCCCGGAGCCUUUCUAGCAGCUCCAGAACGAGGCCUGUGACCCUCCAGGAGAGCAAGGCCCAGCCCCGUCCCUUCCGUUCUUGCCACCUUAACAGGUUAACGAUGUAGCUCAAAGAGACAUCAGUCACUCCGAAACAGAGGCCCGACUGGAGGACAUCUGUCAGGCAACAACCAGCAGGGGCCGGAGCCACGCGCACACGCCCCGCGCGGCCUGAGGGGCCACUGGAAUGCUGGCAGUUUCCUCGCAAGCCCAAGACGCCCAGGGAGAAGCGAGAGCAGAAAGGACACAAAACGUCCCAGCACCGCCUUCCUCGCUGACCGGUGGCUUCCCGAGGGAGAAGCACCCUUCGCUCCUGGACCGUCACCUCUACGGCGACGAUGCUGAACACAGUGGUCCCAGCACACGGCGUCACACAGAACGCGUGCAAACAUCGGAACAAGGCUCCAUUUCCCAACAGUACAAAUCCCCCUCCCUCUUAAAUCUUCAGAGUGUACAAUAAAAUCUGUACAUAGCA